AAUGUCUUACCUUAAAAUUAAAAUUAUGAAUAAUACGCAAAAUAUAAACAGCACAAUACAAUUUGAGUAUGUACACUAAACGUUUACUUAUAAUACGUUUGUAUACGCGUAUAAAAUCUGAUGACACAAUAUUAUUAUGUUAUCACUUACCACUUAUCAUCAUGGAAGUUGUAUACAUCCAUAUGAUUCGUAUAUUUAUGUUUUCUUUGUUUACUAUCAAUUAUUACUCUUUGGAACGUUUUUUUUUUUAAUUUGUCUUUUUUUUUUUUAAAUUUUUUACCGAAAAUGGGAAAAACUUUUUCGGUAUUUUUCUAAAUUUUCCGUGUAAUUUUGAACACCAUAACAGUGAACUGCCAAAAGUAACUGUAUAAUAUUAAAUUUUAGACGGACACAAAAAUCAAUACGCACAAUGAUAUUAUUUUUUUAUGAUAUAUUUCGUAUGACAUUUCAUACCCGAAAGAUAUUAAAAUUUUUUUGUAUUACAUUUUAAAUCAGACAAAAAAAAAAAAAGGCUAGUUGUCGUGUGUUUAUAAAAUACGACCAAAAAUAAUUUUCAAUACAAAUAAUAUUGUUGAGAUUCACAAAACAAAAAAAAAAAAAAAAAUAAUAAUAAUAAUAAUAAUAAUAAUAAUUAAAAUUAUACGUUUCUAUGUAUAAAAUAAUUUAAAAUAUUAAUAUACAAGGUCGUGAUCGAAAUGAAUGACCAGGAGAUUAUUGCAAAAGGAAUAAAUCGCAAAUAAAAAUAAAUGCAUCAAGUACGUCCCCCGGGUUUUUACCCGGGGGUUUUUUGUUUUCCGUUUUUUUUUUUUUUGCUUGUUGAUUUCCCACGUCAAACAUUCCUAUCACAUCAGUGUAUAUAAAAAAAAAAAAAAAAAUUAGUAAUAAUAAUAAUAAUAAUAAUAAUAAAUAAUAAUAAAAAAAAAUAAUAAUAAUUAUAAUAAAAAAUGAUACAAAAUUAAAGGUAAAAUUUACAUUUAUAAUAAAUUCGAGUUUUUAAAAUGUUACAAAAGUAUAAUAUUGUAGGAAAAAAAAAUAUAAUAUAGUCAAAAUACAGAAAAAAAAAAAAAAUUAUUUUUUAAGUUUGGUAGGUUUUAUUACUGGUUAAAUGACAGUCAAAAUAUGUUAAUAAAUCAUGUACAAUAGUCAAUAAUGUAUGUUUUGACUAGAAAUUCAACGAAAUAAUAAUAUUAUACUAUAGUUUAAUAUUUUUUUUAAUUAUCCGGUUGAAAAAAAAAAAUAUGUUCAUAUUGCAGCCAUGAUGAUCGCGGGAAACAUCUGAAAACAAAUACAAUAUCAUCAGGUUAAUAAUCGGGAAAAAAACCAAACGAUUGUACGGAGAUUAUUAUUCAAAAAAAAAUAUAUACGAUACAUAGAGUUGUUUAAAUAGUAUGCUAUAUGCGACGAUAAAUCAUUACCAAACAAUAACCUAACGGAACACGAUUCUGAGCGAAGUUUAGUUAAACAUCAUACUGUGACGUGCCGUGAUUUUUACGGUUCCUUUCAAAAUUUUGACUCGCGUAUAAAAAAAACGGCUCGGCUUUUGGCUCAUUGAGUAAAACUUUCUGCUCGUCCAAAACGAUUUUAUCCACAUUAAACCGAAGAAAAACUAAAAAAUGUCAAAUGCCUCUCAAAUAAUUAGCUGAAAAAUCGCUAGAAUGCAUAAAACGAUUUUAUCACAUUUAGAAGAAGCUAAUAUACACGCAUUCUGUGAAAAAUACAGAUCUCCACGAUUAUUUUUAACCGUCUCGAACAAAAAAAAAAAAUCAACAUUUUCUUUCGUGGGUAUUAUAGAAUACGGGUCGUAGGCGGUAUUUAUAGUUUUUAUGCCGAACGAUAAAUUAUUGCAAUCACAAAACGAUUCUGAUCGGUGCUCGGUAAACUGCUGGUAAGGUCAUAACGUACCUAUUUAUAGUAUUAUGGCGGUGUUACCGUCAUGUAUGUCGCCAUGAUUUUUUGUUGUUUAAUAGAAAUAUCCGUGGGGAAAUAGACAAUUUUUUUUUUUCAACUUAAGUACGAGCGGGCGAAAAUCUAUUACGAUACGGUAAUAAAUCUGAACAUAAUUCGUCAAUUUAAUAACAGGCUACGUUUUUAAGAUCGUGUUGUUUUUUUUUUUUUUUUAAACUAUUAUACUGUUUAAGUAUCAGAAAAUACACUUUAAAACAUUUUAUCAAUGCAGAUAAAAACGUAGAAUACACAAAAUGUAUAGAUUACAUUUCUAUAGUGUAGAAUAUUAAGCGAUAUUACGGUAAUUUAUUGAAGUAUAAUUGAAAAUGAAAAUAUUUAUUUUAAGCCACGAGUGGCACGCAAUUAUAAUAAUAUUUAUUUUACAAUAAUAAUAUUCGCAUGUACUCGUAAACUAUAAUAUUACAGACUGUGCGUUUCGCGAGUUUAGAGCGUGAGCUAUAGGUGCGGGUAGGCACUCUAAACUUAAAACGCGUUUAUUCAGUUCGGUAUAUAAGUACCGGAUACGGAUAGUUUGAUUUCGAGGAGGAGAGGAAAAAUUUAUUCAAGUUAACCGGGUAUUAGGUAAGUAGGUGUACCUGUACAAUAAAAACACCGUCGAAAUAUUAUACAUUGCACAAGUUUGGCCAAUACGCGUUUUUAACGUGUUUGUUAUUAUGAAUGUAUAUACAGAUUUUUUUUUCUCCUAAAUUCCAGGCGUAUCACGAAAUAUAUUGUACGCAGUUUUCGUUCUUUUUAAAUUUUACUAUCUACGCGCGCAUUAGUGAGAAAAAAUUAUUUCAUUGUGCGUUAGGUAGGACAAUAACGAUUAAAAAACGUGUUAGGUACGACGACGACGAAAAUGCGUUCCGGCUAUAUUUAUGCGCACGUAUCAGCUGAACGAAUAUUAUAAUAACAAGCACAAUAUCUGUAUGUAUGUAUGUGUGUGUGUGUGUGUGUGUGUAAGUUUAUAUAUUAUAAGUAUACAGAGUGAUUUUGUUUUUUUUUUUUUUUUGUCAGUAAGACUAGUAUAUAAGUAAUCCCUUUAGAGUUUAUUUCUGUUUGGGAAUAAUCUACCAUCAAGUGAUAUACUGGUAUGCGCACGAUGUACUCGUACUAUUAUUUUUAUAAUUUUACGUUAAGUAUUAGGUCUGAUGACAAACGUUGUACAAUAUGACGCAUAGUUUAAAAAAAAAAAUAGUAGGAAGAAACUAUAGCGUCUCUUAAAGAAGAAAAAAAACCACCGACCAGUGGCAGUGAUCAGUGAUAUAUCUUCUUAGAUAAAUUAAACGUUUCAACACUCGAAUUAAUGUCAACUAUAUAAAACAUACUUUAUCUGUGACUCGUGGAAUUAUUUUACUGCAAGAUACGCCGUCAUUCGAAAUUCAAAAAUGCACUGCCAACAAACACAAAACGUUAAAAAACAUAACAAUUUUAGAACUGCGUGUGUGCAUCGUACAUUUUCAAAACUAAUAGCUAAUGAGAGCGUACACUUAACCUCCGCGAGUGUUCCGCGGAAACCAAUCGCCAUAAUAUACAGGGUCGUGUUAAAGGGGAGAAGGCAGUGGAGACAUUUGCCCCGGGGCGUCGGAGCUUUUUAAAACAAUCGGGCACCCGGCUCAACGUAAAACUCGAAAUAAAAUUAACAAUAUCACUAUUGUUCUGUCGCUUGUUAUUUGUUUUGUUUUCAAACGUUAUUUGCUUAAAACAGUAAUUAAUAUUGUUUGGUAAUUACAAGACCGCGGGUACAACCGAGUAACGUAAUAUGCGUAUCUAGAAAAACAAAUUCAAGCGUAACGAAGAAUCUCAUUUGGUGGAUGUAAAAUGUUAAAAUUUUAAUACGAAUUUACAAAAAAAUUGUAACACACAAAAAAUAACAAAUUUUGGUGGGAGGGGGGGAUUCAUCCUUCAAAUCGUACUCGAGUGAAGUAUCUUAAAAGGGGGCGUUUAAAAAUCGAUGUCCCUGGGCGCCGAAUGGCCCGACACGGCUCCGAGUGUGUAUGAUAUUAUUAUUACCAUGAUCGACACGCCAAAUUAUUACGCGAACGCAGGUGUGCGAACGGCAUCAAUGGGAUUUUGAACGAAUAAAAAUAAGUCUUGCCGUCGUGGUGGCGAGCGAGGAAACAGAUUUAAGACCACACAGAUUUUUAUCGUGUAAAAACGUAUUGUAUUGUGCGUGUGCAGCGAAACUAAAGGACCGCAAAUAAUUCGCAAUUCAUCAGCCGGUCAUCAGAAGAAGAAGAAAAAAAAGGGUUAUAAUAAUGACGCGGACCGGACGUGGGCUUUGUGUCCGCAGUGUUCGAGCACAAAACCGGGGCGGGGUGGCCCGUGGUAUUUUCGAAUACUCCUUGACGAAUAUUAUAAAUAGAAUACCGCCAUCCUGGACCUAAAGGGCAGUAUUAAGUGACAGAAUUUGAAAAAUUGCUUUUUUUGUAUCGAAAUAUUCGUUUUGGUUUUUGUUUUUUUAAAACGCGUCUUUCUGACCCUGAGUAAAAAUACCGUAAAUGCAAUAGAUUUCAUAAUAAACGUGGUUAUAUACACGUGUUUUUUUUUUAAAAAAAUAAUAUAGAUACUGACUUUCUAUACUGACCAUAAGCGAAAAGGCAGUAACCGCUGAGCACGUAAUCACACCAUACAAUAAUUUUGCUAGUACUAUAGUUCGCAUUCGGUUUUUUUGUUUUGUAUCGAUAGGAAUCAGGAAAACAAGGCGAUUCAUAAAAUAUUAUUUUUCUGAAAACUACAUGAUAUGAGUUAUGACUAUGUCGCCAAUACUUAGGAGGUGCCUUUACACUAAGGAGGACAGGGUACAUGCAUAAUAACAGAUGUCGUAUUGAUGUUUUUUCCGAAUUGAAAAAAAAAAAUAAAAGAUUUAAGAAAAUACUGGACAGUAUAUAUUAAUUUAAUGGUAAAACUGUAGCGAUUCGUAUAUUAAACGCCGGCGUUUAUAAUAUAAUAUUAUAUUUUGAAAAGGUUAUUUUUGUCGCAAAGGAGUUUGUCUAGUCGUCGAGUGACCGAACGUUUGACCCGAGUUACGGCAAACAAUACACGUAUCUAUAUACAGGGUGCUCGUUUGAUCAUUAUCAUAAUAUACAAACUACUAACCGGCAAAUCUGUACAAGCCUACGAAUAACCUUUGAACGUUAAUUCGAUUAAAUUAUUAAUUGUAUUAUUUCAGACAUAAUAAUGUUCACAUUUCAAAACGAAUAAUAGUUUAUAAUAUUAACUUGAUAGACACGUGCAAUUUUAUCACCAACUCUUGUUCCUUACUCGUCCGGUCUAAAUUUACUCGCAUCUAUAAUAUUGGUAUCUAAUUGUCUGUGAAAAUAUUCUCUUAUCGAAUGCAUAGCAGUUAAAUACAAUGGGAGUUGCCGACAUUUUUCAAACAAAUUGUAUAGGUUUACCCGGGUAAGAAAAUACCUUUUCUUUUUUUUUUAAAAAAAAUCUCAAAAGUCGAAAUAGAGAGGAAGCACCGUGGCUUGACGACGUCAUCAAUCCAAGAUCCUCAAUAAGCUUCGAUUUCAGUCGGCAACCCAACAAAACCGGAAACCGGGUAGGACACUUUCGAAUCGCGCCAUAACAGACGGUUUUGGAUAUUUUUAAACUCAUAGAUUUUUAAACGCAAUUCGUGAAGAAUUAAAACACCGGGAGAAAAAUAAAUUCAAUUUCCAAACUGACAGUGUUCAUUGCAGUAAGACAUGUUCAGAGACAUGAAAACGUGUUCCGUUGCGACGGGACGCGUUUUCAUUUUAUUUUCGACAAUUAUUUCCACGAGUAGGUAUCGGAUUCACUCCAAAUCUAUUCGUAAACAAACGGCGCUGCGCACAUAUACGGUAUAGCAUAAAAAUAACACCCUGUACAAAUUAUAACACGGUAAUAAUUGGAACGCACCGGAGUUAGUAGGUAUAUAUAUAUACAUAUAUUAAAUACUCACUGGUCUAACGCGUUGCCAACAAUUCAUCGGUCCCCAGACAUUAAUACACUAUUUUAUUGCGCAUAGAUGUACAAUACGUCUACGGAGAUGCGUUUUAAUAAUAUCAUUUAAAUAAUGUUUUUCAAAACCGACAUUCGAUACACGUGCCGCGAACAAAACAAUAAUUUUCGUUUAAUAAUAACACCGUUGGUGUCCGUGAACAGUUCACGGAGUAAAUUCUAUAUGAACGGAGCCGGGCGUUUUUUUAAAAUUUUUUUUUUUUAACGGAGGACUUUUCGGGGUCCAAACGGAAACAUCGAAAUGUCCGUUGUACGUCCAGUGGAGUGAAAUUUGUUUACUGCGCGUCCGCUAGAAAAUAAACGGCAAACGAUCAAACUAAUCGGUUUAUUAUACGUUACAAUACAAUAGGAAACACUCUCACUGGCGGGAGGGAAGCGCAUAUCGGAAAGUGCGAAAGUUUAGCGAAAGGUGUCGUUUAGUGCGAGUGGAGUUUUUUUUUUAAGAGACGAACAGUGGAUGUUCACUAUGCCCUGGGGUCUAGUGGAAAUCCGAUACACGAGAUAAUGUUCGCGGACCGUGCGACGAGAAUAACGCACGCAAAAGUCGAGUUUCAUUCUCAAAAAAUACAUCCGGGAAAACUGCUGGGUUUAUGGAGUAAUUAAAAAAUUACAAACAAGUUAUACCGAGUUAUACAUGAUAAGAAAACGAUUAACUUUGUAAUUUUUGAAUUACACUUAUUUAAUUCGACGCGUGUUUCGAAUACAAGUUAAUUUUCACAGUUAAUUUAAUAAUUUGUUCAUUAAAUAUUAUUGUUUAUAUUUCUAUUACUUAGUUACGGGUAGUUUAUAAAUUAAUAUUAGCAAAAUUGUAAAGCGUUCUGUGAACAUUUAUAAUUCGGGAUAAAAAAAAAAAAAGUAAUAAAAGUCUAUUUGAAAAUUUAAUAUUAAAUUUUAAUUUUUUUCGGAAGGGUGGGGAAGGGCUAAAAUUAAGUUUGGAUAGGUUACAAGAUAAUUUUUCUUCUAUACGUAAUACAAUCGCAUUGUCUUUGAAAUGCAUUAAUUUAUUUUCGAAUUAAUCUUUUCGCGGAUUUUAAAUAUUUCAUGAAAAUCUACAUGGAGUUAUCACUAAUCACUAAUCGUAUGAUUAUCACCAUUUUGGUUAUACUUCAAAUGUAUUAUGUUAACCAAUGCUUACGAAAAUUACGAUAUUUUAAACAUGUACAUAACCGACCUUCGCUCAGAAACUCGUUUCGUAAUGGUUCAUAUCGUUGCGUACAUAUAAGAAUUUAAUGAACUUUAUUUAAGGUCAGGAUACCUUCCCGAAUUUUCGCCUACAACCGUAUUUUUUUUUUAAUUUUAAAUAAUCGAUUUUAAAAUAGUACCAAGAUUUAAUGUGCAUACUAUUUUAUAAUCGAUGCUAUUGUUACGACGAGUAUACGUAAAUCGGGUGUUUUAUUGGUACUAGAAAUGGACGAUUGAAUCAGGCUAAAUCAUUGUUUUUACUAUUGUACAAUUCUGUGUGUUUGUUUUUUUUUUUUUUUCUAGAAAAGAACCGAACAGUGGGAAGCACUAAGUUCCCGCGGCGGUCGACGAAUAAUUUAUUUCGACUCGACGGAACCGAAACAAUCAAAUUCCCGUGGCGCGGUUUUACCGCUAAAAUGACGAAAAACAUACGUGUAGAACAACGAAACGUUUCGAGAAAGCGAG